rnacentral:rRNA from 1 species
GAUGAACGCUGACAGAAUGCUUAACACAUGCAAGUCGAUGGGGAAGUGGUGCUUGCACCAUGGUAACCAUGGCGGACGGGUGAGUAACGCGUAAGGAACUUGCCUGCGGGACUGGGAUAACAGCAGGAAACUGCUGAUAAUACCGGAUAAGGUCAUUAAGCUGCAUAGCUUAGUGAUGAAAGGAGACGCCUGCGGAGAGCCUUGCGUCCUAUUAGCUAGUUGGAGGGGUAACGGCCCACCAAGGCGAAGAUAGGUAGCCGGCCUGAGGGGGUGGACGGCCACAAGGGGACUGAGAUACGGCCCUUACUCCUACGGGAGGCAGCAGUGGGGAAUAUUGGACAAUGGGGGCAACCCUGAUCCAGCAAUUCUGUGUGCACGAAGACGGUUUUCGGAUUGUAAAGUGCUUUCAGCAGGGAAGAAGGAAGUGACGGUACCUGCAGAAGAAGCGACGGCUAAAUACGUG